rnacentral:rRNA from 1 species
GACGAAGGAUGCAAGCGUUAUCCGGAUUCAUUGGGUUUAAAGGGAGCGUAGGUGGCCUUAUAAGUCAGUGGUGAAAUCUCGCAGCUUAACUGCGAAAUUGCCAUUGAUACUGUAGGGCUUGAGUAUAGUUGCCGUUGGCGGAAUAUGACAUGUAGUGGUGAAAUACAUAGAGAUGUCAUAGAACACCGAUUGCGAAGGCAGCUGACGAAACUAUAACUGACACUGAGGCUCGAAAGUGCGGGGAUCAAACAGGAUUAGACUG